UUUCUUUGCUGGCGACCGGCGCACGGGUGAGUAACACGUAUCCAACCUGCCCUUUACUCGGGGAUAGCCUUUCGAAAGAAAGGUUAAUACCCGAUAGCAUAAUGAUUCCGCAUGGUUUCAUUAUUAAAGGAUUCCGGUAAAGGAUGGGGAUGCGUUCCAUUAGGUUGUUGGUGAGGUAACGGCUCACCAAGCCUUCGAUGGAUAGGGGUUCUGAGAGGAAGGUCCCCCACAUUGGAACUGAGACACGGUCCAA
rnacentral:rRNA from 1 species